rnacentral:rRNA from 1 species
AGCCGCCGCGGUAACACCGGCGGCCCGAGUGGUGAUCGUGAUUAUGGGUCUAAGGGUCCGUAGCCGGUUGGUCAGUCCUCCGGGAAAUCUGAUAGCUCAACUAUUAGGCUUUCGGGGGAUACUGCCAGACUUGGAACCGGGAGAGGUAAGAGGUACUACAGGGGUAGGAGUGAAAUCUUGUAAUCCCUGUGGGACCACCUGUGGCGAAGGCGUCUUACCAGAACGGGUUCGACGGUGAGGGACGAAAGCUGGGGGCACGAACCGGAUUAGAUACCCGGGUAGUCCCAGCCGUAAACGAUGCUCGCUAGGUGUCAGGCAUGGCGCGACCGUGUCUGGUGCCGCAGGGAAGCCGUGAAGCGAGCCACCUGGGAAGUACGGCCGCAAGGCUGAAACUUAAAGGAAUUGGCGGGGGAGCACAACAACGGGUGGAAGCCUGCGGUUUAAUUGGACUCAACGCCGGACAACUCACCGGGGGCGACAGCAAUAUGUAGGCCAAGCUGAAGACUUUGCCUGAAUCGCUGAGGGGAGGUGCAUGG